rnacentral:rRNA from 1 species
GACGAACGCUGGCGGCGUGCUUAACACAUGCAAGUCGAACGGACUACUUUGCUUCGGUAAGGUGGUUAGUGGCGAACGGGUGAGUAACGCGUAGACAACCUACCUCUUAGAUGGGGACAACAUCGCGAAAGCGGUGCUAAUACCGAAUGAUGUAACUUUUCUGCAUGGAAGAGUUACCAAAGGCGGCCUCUAUUUAUAAGCUGUCACUGAGAGAUGGGUCUGCGUCUGAUUAGCUAGUUGGCGGGGUAAUGGCCAACCAAGGCGACGAUCAGUAGCCGGUCUGAGAGGAUGAACGGCCACAUUGGGACUGAGACACGGCCCAAACUCCUACGGGAGGCAGCAGUGGGGAAUCUUCCGCAAUGGACGAAAGUCUGACGGAGCAACGCCGCGUGAGUGAAGAAGGUUUUCGGAUCGUAAAGCUCUGUUGUUUGAGACGAAUGUGCAAUUUUUGAAUAAGGAAUUGUAAUGACGGUAUUAAACGAGAAAGCCACGGCUAACUACGUGCCAGCCGCCGCGGUAAUAC